rnacentral:rRNA from 1 species
AUACGGAGGGUGCAAGCGUUGUUCGGAAUUAUUGGGCGUAAAGAGCAUGUAGGCGGUCUGUUAAGUCUGGUGUGAAAGCCCGGGGCUCAACCCCGGAAGUGCAUUGGAUACUGGCAGACUUGAGUAUGGGAGAGGAAAGCGGAAUUCCGAGUGUAGGAGUGAAAUCCGUAGAUAUUCGGAGGAACACCAGUGGCGAAGGCGGCUUUCUGGACCAAUACUGACGCUGAGAUGCGAAAGCGUGGGGAGCGAACAGGAUUAGAAACCCCAGUAGUCC